rnacentral:sRNA from 1 species
GAAGUAGCUGAACCAGCCAGUGAUGGAAAAAAAGGAUACUUAGUUCCAAAUGUAGAGUUACCUCCCUUGUGUAGUACCAACUUUAAACCUGGCCCACCCAGUGAGUUGGCUCAAGUCUUAAGUCAAAAUAUGGUCGACUUUUUAACAGAUUCUAAAUGUGUCCGCCUUGAAGACUUGUGUAUUGUACCUGGGAAGCUUGUCUGGUCACUCUAUAUUGACCUGGUAUGUCUAGACUUUGACGGCAAUGUCAUGGACGCCUGUACGCUAGCACUGAUGGCAGCUCUGA